UACGUAGGGGGGCAAGCGUUGUCCGGAUUUAUUGGGCGUAAAGAGCGUGUAGGCGGCCAUGUAGGUCCGUUGUGAAAACUCGAGGCUCAACCUCGAGACGCCGAUGGAAACCAUGUGGCUAGAGUCCGGAAGAGGAGAGUGGAAUUCCUGGUGUAGCGGUGAAAUGCGCAGAUAUCAGGAAGAACACCCGUGGCUAAGGCGGCUCUCUAGUACGGUACUGACGCUGAGACGCGAAAGCUAGGGGAGCGAACAGG
rnacentral:rRNA from 1 species